rnacentral:rRNA from 1 species
GACGAACGCUGGCGGCGUGCUUAACACAUGCAAGUCGAACGGAAAGGCCCUGCUUUUGUGGGGUGCUCGAGUGGCGAACGGGUGAGUAACACGUGAGUAACCUGCCCUUGACUUUGGGAUAACUUCAGGAAACUGGGGCUAAUACCGGAUAGGAGCUCCUGCUGCAUGGUGGGGGUUGGAAAGUUUCGGCGGUUGGGGAUGGACUCGCGGCGUAUCAGCUUGUUGGUGGGGUAGUGGCUUACCAAGGCUUUGACGGGUAGCAGGCCUGAGAGGGUGACCGGCCACACUGGGACUGAGAUACGGCACAGACUCCUACGGGAGGCAGCAGUGGGGAAUAUUGCACAAUGGGCGGAAGCCUGAUGCAGCAGCGCCGCGUGCGGGAUGACGGCCUUCGGGUUGUAAACCGCUUUCGCCUGUGACGAAGCGUGAGUGACGGGAAUGGGUAAAGAAGCACCGGCUAACUACGUG